rnacentral:lncRNA from 1 species
GCUAGGUUGCACCAAAUCAGGACUAGCUAGCCCUUUCCUCUUCCCUCCCCCCCUGCUUCCUCGCCCCACUGUCACCCAGCUACAUGCCUGUUCCCCAUCUGUCAUAUCUCCUCCCUCUCCGCUACCUGUCCCCACUAAACUCUGCUCAGUGAGCAGUAGACUCCUCUCAAGAUUGUCAAUCUCCCUCAAUGUUGCAAUUUGCUUCUCGAGAUCUCCAAUCUGAGCUUCCAGAGAAGCCACUCGCACACAACCAUCACAGAGGUAUGGACCCUGGACGGGUACAUCCAGGCAGCCAUACAUGCAACAAGAUGUGCAUUGAGUUAAACCAGCAAUCUUGCUAACACUCAUAUCCCCUUUAAACACAAAAAAACAUUUACCUUGAUAGUUUAAACCCCUUGUUAGUUUGAACUCCUGGUUUUCUAACUCCUACUUGAAAGAGUCUACUUAACAGAGGCUGCUUUCAAGUAAUGUGAGCAAGCUCAGUGAGUUAGGGGUGUGCCUUUAUGGGGAUACAAAUCCCACACAGGUGCAAACAAUGAACACUCCCCCAAUCAAUCAAGCAGCAGCACAAAAAAAGGGGGGAAAACCAGAACACAGAGAAAAAAAAAGAAAAUGUAAAAAACAACAUUUUUUUUUUUUUUUUUAAAACCUUACCAACUUUAAAGAUUAAACAAAAAUAAAAUGCAAACCACUCUCCACAGUAUACAAACCACUCCAAGUAACUCCUGGUUUUCUAACUCCUACUUGAAAGAGUCUACUUAACAGAGGCUGCUUUCAAGUAAUGCGGGCGGGCAGUCAAACAAAUGACUUCCAGGAAAUUCCUGAACCCCGGAACUGAUCUUGGUGAAUUUGAAUAUGUUGGUCACCCAGAUCAGGGCUAUCAGGGGAUGGCACUUUGUGGGGUUUUAUCUAUUUUUAGGUCUCUUUUGGGGUGUUUUGGAAAAAUAGUUUUUUUUCUGUACUUGAAGAUAAUUGGAUUAGAUUAGUACAGUUCCUGAUCCAAUUAUCUCCCAGGUACAGAGGAGGGAUUAACUGAUUUUGUAUGGGAGUGUCCUGAACCCGAGAGCCAAUGUAAUUGUGUAUUUGUUCCUACUGUGGUAUACUCUCAGGUCCAGGGGGGGAGUGCCCCUUGCAUGGGGACAUCCAUUAAAGCAUUCCAGCUCGCACUCCAAAACUGUGUCACCCUGUUAUUGGAGGGAAGGAAGAUUUAACCCCGAUGUCUGCUGUUCCAGUGCCUGGGUGUUUCUAGAGCAAAUUCCCCAUUGGCUCCAGAAAGGAGCGGUUCCAGGGCCCCAGUCAAGCCAAGGCAACUGUGGGCAGAAGUGCUGCGGUUUGUUCCCUGUUCCAGCUAGGAAGCGGUCCUUGGCGGAGGUACCCAGCCGGGGUACAGGGAGCUCCAUCACAUUGGUUGGCAGCGGUGGGAUGGCUUCAUAGCCUUGGGAAAACCAGCACUACUGCAGUAUGGAAGGCAAAUACUGCCGAGCAGUAUCCGGCUUCGACGCCAGACUUCAGCAGCGACUAAAGGAUGUGCUGUGCAGUAUGAAGUACUCUAUCCCAGAGGAUAGAGAGACAGAGUGGAGGGUGGAGCUUCAAACCAAUCUCUGGAAAGAGGACCUCGACGAAAUUCGACCCUUCCGGAGUCACUGGCGGAUCCGGGGGGGCACCGGGGCAAUUGUCCCCCCCGAGAAUCCAAGGUUCUCCCUCACCCCUGCCGGCUAAUGCAGGGCUGAUGCUGUCCAACUGCAAUGUGCCUUCAUGGACCGGAGGGGAGAUCAGAGAUCCUCCGGUCCGCAGGCACUGUUUGCUGGCCGCCGGCAGAGGAGGGAGAGAGAGAGGACCCGGAGGAGCUCAGUCUGCAGCUCCUCCAGGUCCUUCUCUCGUGAGCACGGAGCGUUGCCACGGCAACGCUCCGGAUCUCGCGAGAGUGAACUCUAGCCCUGGAGACCGGGGCUAGAGUUCACUCUAACCACGUGGACCAACAGGGAUUCCCCACCAAACCACCAG